rnacentral:rRNA from 1 species
GACGAACGCUGGCGGCGUGCCUAAUACAUGCAAGUUGAGCGAUGAAGAUUGGUGCUUGCACCAAUUUGAAGAGCAGCGAGCGGGUGAGUAACGCGUGGGGAAUCUGCCUUUGAGCGGGGGACAGCAUUUGGAAACGAAUGCUAAUACCGCAUAACAACUUUAAACAUAAGUUUUAAGUUUGAAAGAUGCAAUUGCAUCACUCAAAGAUGAUCCCGCGUUGUAUUAGCUAGUUGGUGAGGUAAAGGCUCACCAAGGCGAUGAUACAUAGCCGACCUGAGAGGGUGAUCGGCCACAUUGGGACUGAGACACGGCCCAAACUCCUACGGGAGGCAGCAGUAGGGAAUCUUCGGCAAUGGACGAAAGUCUGACCGAGCAACGCCGCGUGAGUGAAGAAGGUUUUCGGAUCGUAAAACUCUGUUGGUAGAGAAGAACGUUGGUGAGAGUGGAAAGCUCAUCAAGUGACGGUAACUACCCAGAAAGGGACGGCUAACUACGUG